CUAAGAAUCUUGCGCAAUGGGCGAAAGCCUGACGCAGCAAUUCCGCGUGGGGGACGAAGGCCCUCGGGUCGUAAACACCUUUUGUGAGGGAAGAAGUUCUGACGGUACCUCACGAAUAAGACACGGCUAACUACGUGCCAGCAGCCGCGGUAAUACGUAGGUGUCGAGCGUUGUCCGGAUUUAUUGGGCGUAAAGAGCCCGCAGGCGGCUUGGUAAGUUCGAGGUGAAAUCUCCCGGCUCAACUGGGAGGGUGCCUCGAAAACUAUCAGGCUUGAGGCAGGGAGAGUGAUGUGGAAUUCCCGGUGUAGUGGUGAAAUGCGUAGAUAUCGGGAGGAACACCAGUGGCGAAGGCGGCAUCCUGGCCCUGUCCUGACGCUCAGGGGCGAAAGCGUGGGGAGCAAACC
rnacentral:rRNA from 1 species